UUGUAUUUUGGCCUGGGAGUUAGAGCGCCCUCCUGUGGUGAAAUCCAGGUUACAUCGCUACACUGAGAAGAACGGAUCAAAUUGGUUAAAAAUAUGGACACCAAGGACAUGUCUUGUCCAAGGACAAAUCACUGGUUUUGGGUAAAUCUGCUGGGACAGGGGACACAGGACUCAAAACUGGAACUGUCCCGGGCAAAUAGGGACGCCUGGUCACCCUAUUUUAGACAAUUUAAUUUCACCUUAAAUAUUUAGUUGUGAAACCCAUGGAACAUUUAGCAAAGCAGUUGAUCAGCUCCAAUUAAAGAACAGCCUUGAAGACCCGGGAAGAUUGCACUGGACAAGUGUGGAGACUUUAAACACGACCUGCUUGGCUUCAACAGCUGCAUGCUAACCCAUUGCUCUGAUUGUCGUCCUGCUUCCACUGCCCUGGUGAAUACUAGCAAGGUCCUUAAUGUGUGAGAUCAAGAGGAAAAUAAGGCUCUCCAAAUGGAAUCAAAUCACACAGGGAGGCAGGCCGGCUGGCAGCAGAAGGCCUUUGCAGCAUUAAAGCCCGAAUAAGACAGAGCAAUUGGACUGUAAUUCCUAUUCCAGCUAUUAGGCCGUCACUGCAACCGCUCACUUGCUUGGUUUGCUUCUCAUUACCCCUUCAGUCCCCACCCCUCCGAACCACCACUUUGAUUAAUUGAUUAAUUCACAAACUAAAACUGAAUCACAUCGCGGUGCUUGGUUGAUUCAAAUUGGACGCGGGGUACCAAUCAGUCCCUCCCACCACAAACAGAAAAUACACCCAGUAAAUAGAUCUCUGUCCAUUUGGCCUGAUAAUUUGUUGCAUUUUCAUGUUUUAUUUAUGAUCAGAAAGCCGCCUGCUCCCGUAUAUCACAGACGCAAUGAGCCGGGGCGGGUCUGCUGCUAUUGAUUCGGGUUGACGGUGCUCCCCUCCACACAGCCUCCCGCUACACCCUUCGCAGUUUGUAUUCGUCCCCAGUUCUGAGCCCUGUAGCCCUGGUGCAUUGGCGCUCAUUCAGCACUCCCCUUCCUGGCUGACACCCGGCCCAAUCCCAUUCCCAUGCAUUCAAUAUUCCCAUUAUAAGCUCAUUAGUCGAGUCAUUGUUUUGGGCUCAUUAAUAGGAUAUCCAUCGCCUUAGACACCUUCAAAUUACCAUGUCUCACUGAGGCCUUUCAGAGCAUCAACAGUGCGGAGAUUUGGGAUUGUACGCUCGAUCGCGGGCCACAGCAACCUUGAGUUUGCUGACAUGUCCGCCUCUGUGGAAACCUGCUGACACACUUUAUGUAGAUGCACAGUCUCCUCCGAAGCAUCCGCCCCCACCCACUCGUUCCCACAGGCUUGUCCGUCAGAGAUGCAGGAGACAGCGGAGUGAGCCAGUGAGGGGGAGGUAGGGCCAGAUUGGAUUUUUAACAUGCGGAGCAGCUCUUCCUCUGCGUAUGUAUUGAUCCUCAGAGGCCUCCCAAGCCCCCGUUUUUCCUUUCUUUCCCUGGCAGUGGAGGCCAUUCAUCACCGGGGCCAUGACUGGAGAGCUCAAACAGCCGUCUCUGUCAGAAAAUGGGCUGCGCUCUGCCACACUGCUCUGGCCUCUCUCAUCAGUGGGAUGAAAGCUUGACAGCGACUCAUUGUAUGUUCUGUUUCUCUCCAUCCUAAGACAUCUGCAGA